rnacentral:rRNA from 1 species
GACGAACGCUGGCGGCGUGCUUAACACAUGCAAGUCGAACGAAGUGGCGAACUGGUGCGUAACGCGUAAUCAACCUGCCAUUCAGAGGGGGACAACAGUUGGAAACGACUGCUAAUACCGCAUACUGAAGUAGGGGAUUGCGUCUGAUUAGCUAGUUGGAGGGGUACCGGCCCACAAAGGCGAUGGUCAGUAGCCGGUCUGAGAGGAUGACCAGCCACACUGGAAAUGAGACACGGUCCAGACUCCUACGGGAGGCAGCAGUAGGGAAUCUUCGGCAAUGGACGAAAGUCUGACCGAGCAACGCCGCGUGAGUGAAGAAGGUUUUCGGAUCGUAAAACUCUGUUGUUAGAGAAGCGGUAUCUAACCAGAAAGCCACGGCUAACUACGUGCCAGCAGCCGCGGUAAUUC